GCCUUCGUAGUGUAACGGUAGCACACUCGGCGCGUAUUCCAGAGGUGAAGGUUCGAGUCCCGCCGAGGACG
rnacentral:tRNA from 1 species